CAGUCGCCACGGUAAUACGAAGGGGGCUAGCGUUGCUCGGAAUUACUGGGCGUAAAGGGAGCGUAGGCGGGUCGUUUAGUCAGAGGUGAAAUCCCGGGGCUCAACCUCGGAACUGCCUUUGAUACUGGCGACCUUGAGUAUGGGAGAGGUAAGUGGAACUCCGAGUGUAGAGGUGAAAUUCGUAGAUAUUCGGAAGAACACCAGUGGCGAAGGCGACUUACUGGCCCAUUACUGACGCUGAGGCUCGAAAGCGUGGAGAGCAAACAGGAUUAGAUACCCCAGUAGUCCCUGUCUCUUAUAC
rnacentral:rRNA from 1 species